rnacentral:rRNA from 1 species
UACGAAGGGGGCUAGCGUUGUUCGGAAUUACUGGGCGUAAAGGGCGCGUAGGCGGUACUUCAAGUCAGGCGUGAAAGCCCCGGGCUCAACCUGGGAACCGCGCUUGAGACUGGAGAACUAGAGUUCGGGAGAGGAUGGUGGAAUUCCCAGUGUAGAGGUGAAAUUCGUAGAUAUUGGGAAGAACACCGAUGGGCGAAGGCAGCCAUCUGGACCGACACUGACGCUGAGGCGCGAAAGCGUGGGGAGCAAACAGG